rnacentral:rRNA from 1 species
CUUGGCAGGUGGACUCCCAUAUUUCUUCUUUCUCCAUUUUUUCCAAGAAAAGCUCAUCGACUUUGAUAAAAUAAUGCCUGUACCGUAAACCGACACAGGUACGUGGGUUGAAUAAACUAAGGGGAGCGAGAUAACUCUCUCUAAGGAACUCGGCAAAUUGGCUCUGUACCUUCGGAAGAAAGAGUGCCCUGCAUAAGGGCCGCAGUGAAGAGAUCCAGGCGACUGUUUACCAAAAACACAGGUCUCCGCAAAGUCGUAAGACGAUGUAUGGGGGCUGACACCUGCCCAGUGCCAGAAGGUUAAAGAAGUUGGUUAGUUUCGACAAAGCUGACGACUGAAGCCCUGGUGAACGGCGGCAGUAACUAUAACUGUCCUAAGGUAGCGAAAUUCCUUGUCGGGUAAGUUCCGACCCGCACGAAAGGCGUAACGAUUUGCAUACUGUCUCAGAGAGAGGCUCGGUGAAAUAAAAAUAUCUGUGAAGAUGCGGAUUACCUGCACGCGGACAGAAAGACCCUAUGAAGCUUUACUGUAACCUGGAAUUGCUCUCAAGCUUAUUUUGCGCAGCUUAGGUGGGAGACGUUGAACUUCUUUUUCCGGAAAGGAGGGAGUCAUCAGUGAGAUACCACUCUUGGUAAGCUAGAGCGCUCAUUUCUAACCGUUAUCCGGUAGAAAGACAGUUUCAGGCGGGCAGUUUGACUGGGGCAGUCACCUCCCAAAGAGUAAUGGAGGUGUACAAAGGUUCGCUCAGGCUGGACGGAAAUCAGCCAUAGAGUGUAAAAGCAAAAGCGAGCUUGACUGCGAGACUGACAUGUCAAGCAGAGACGAAAGUCGGUUUUAGUGAUCCGACGGUGCUGAGUGGAAAGGCCGUCGCUCAACGGAUAAAAGUUACUCUAGGGAUAACAGGCUAAUCUCCCCCAAGAGUUCACAUCGACGGGGAGGUUUGGCACCUCGAUGUCGGCUUAUCGCAUCCUGGAGCGGAAGUACGUUCCAAGGGUUGGGCUGUUCGCCCAUAGAAAGCGGUACAUGAGCUGGGUUCAGAACGUCGUGAGACAGUUUGGUCCAUAUCCCGUGUAGGCGUUUAGAACAUUGAAAGGAUCUCCCCUUUGUACGAGAGGACCAGGUGGGGACAAUCCGCUAGUGUACCAGUUAUUCCGCCAGGAGUAAACGCUGGGUAGCUAUGAUUGGAGGAAAUAACUGCUGAAAGCAUAUAAGUAGGAAGUUCACCUUAAGAUGAGUGUUCUUUUGUCAUUGAACAAUUGUUCAUACAAGACAGAGAAGGUCAUGGGAAGACUACCCAUUUGAUAGGCGUAAUGUAGACGCUCAGUAAUGAGUUUUGAAGCUGAUACGUACUAAUAGACCGAAGGAUUUGAUUUU